rnacentral:misc_RNA from 1 species
ACGAGUUUUAAUGUUAGGUUAGAGUGAGCUGGUUAAUCUAAUUAUAUGUGCUUACUCUAAUCGAAACAAGUCCACUCAUUACUUAACACUUGUGAACUUAUUCAUUACAAACAUAUUUAUUGUUAUUGGAACGUUGGAUAUUAAAAGUUAAUAA